rnacentral:rRNA from 1 species
GAUGAACGCUGGCGGCGUGCUUAAUACAUGCAAGUCGAGCGGACGGACGAGAUGCUUGUUUCUGUGAUGUUAGCGGCGGACGAGUGCGUAACAAGUGGAGAGCAACCAUAUCAGACUGGGAUAACUACGGCAACCAGGAGUUACUACCGGAGGAUAUUUUGAACCGGAUGGGUGAAAGGUGUAAGAAGGUCUUGCUGUCACUGAUAGAUGGAUCCGCGCCGCAUUAGCUUGUUGGUACGGUAAUGGCUUACCAAGGCACCGAGGCAUAGCCGGCCUGAGAGGGUGAUCGGCCACACUAGAAGGGAUACACCGCCCAGACUCCUACUGGGGGCAGCAGUAGGGAAUCUUCCGCAACAGGCGAAAGCCGGACGGAGCAACGCCGCGUGGGGGAGGAAGGUCUUCGGAGCGUAAAGCACUGUUAUUAGGGGUGAACAACUGCGUAUGUAACUGUGCACAGCUUGACGGUACCUGAUCAAAAAGCCACGGCUAACUACGUG